rnacentral:rRNA from 1 species
GUCCACGCUGUAAACGUUUGGCACUAGGUGUGGGCUCUAACCAACGGAGUCCGUGCCGCAGCUAACGCAUUAAGUGCCCCUCCUGGGGAGUACGGCCGCAAGGUUAAAACUCAAAGGAAUUGACGGGGGCCCGCACAAGCAGCGGAGCAUGUUGCUUAAUUCGAGGCAACGCGAAGAACCUUACCUGGGCUUGACAUGUAGGGAAAUCUCGUAGAGAUACGGGGUCCUUCGGGGCUCUACACAGGUGGUGCAUGGCUGUCGU